CAGAGAGCGCGGAGGGCGGCCGAGGGGGCGUGGCCUCCGGACCCAACCAUCGUGCCGGGGAGCGCUAGGCGGAGACCGCUGAGCGCCUCCGGCUCCUCCCGGGACUUCGGCGGGAAGAGGCUGUGCCUGAAGUCUGAAGCAGCCCCUCGGAAUCCAUUAUUGACCUGUGUAGCUGGGGUGCGAGUGGUGCAGGAGCAAGGGCCUCCGGUUUCUUGGCUCCCCCCUCUCCAUGUUGGAAUGAGAGGAGCCGGUGUGUCACGUGACCAAGUUUGGCAAGUCACGUGACGAGGUGCUAGCCGCAGCUGGGCCUCGGGAAAGAGUCAGCUCUGGCGGCGCUGCUGGUAACCUUGGCGGUGGGCGCUUAGGAGCAGAGAGUCCUCUCUUACCAUGUCUGGCUGGCGGCGACCCAGAUGCCAUGUGAUGGUCAUUUGAAGACAGGCCUGUCGGACAUCAGUUUCCAAGAGGAGGAAUGGGAAUUUAUAUGAUUUAACCACUUGAGAUCCUCAAAGAAAGAACUACUGAAAGAUGUACCUCAUUGAGAAAAAAUAGGAUCUCAGAAGAAAGGCAUGGAAUACCAAGAGCACAAAAAUCUGCCUGGAACAUGCACAGGAUGCCUGUAGAUUCAGAAGCCAUUUGUAAUCAUGAAGAUGAAAGCCACAAAGGACGACAGAUCUGGAAGAGAGAAGCAGCCACGACGUCAGCCUUGGACAGCCUACUACAGACAGAUGGCCGCAAUGUCUCAAAACUGCUGCGGAAACCAUUCUCAGAGAAUUCCAUGUGAGUGCCCACUCUGGAGUUGUGCAGCCCCACCCGGGUACAGAUGGAGUAAGAGGGAAGAACUGAUCAAAGUCAGCUCAAACAAGUCUGACCAAGAUUCCUGAAGGUGUUUCGAGCCUGGUAUAAAAGGAGGGGAGAGAGAUGAUUGAUGGGGAAGUUAGAAGUGUGCAGUCCAUUAAGAUUUAGAGGCAACGGUUUUAGAUGCCCACACUCAGAGGCCCUUCCUGUGCAGUGGUGCCGGGCAGAUUGCCUCAGUAAAGAAGAGUGGCUGUACCAGACUCUCCUGGCAGAUUAGGGUGGAAUGCUUUGAAGGCAGGACUGAGUAAAUUCAAAAUGUCCUGUGGGGGAGGUUAGAAUACUUGCUGAGAAGACUCCAAGGGAAGAUAAGAGGGAGGAUUAGAGAACAGAGUUGAAGGAGAGAUAAGACACUGGGGAGAUAUCCUGUUUUUUCUCAUAGACUGAUCCUUCUCUUUCCCAAGCUCCACAUGUCUGUCUCAAAUCCCUAACUGUAGGUGUGCCCUAAGAGUCCUUGGCCCACCCACAUUCAAUCUUGAUAGUCCGAUCUGGAUCUCAAUGACCCCUUGUCCAGUUGUCUGCUUAAUUUCUUCCCGUAAGUGUCCUACUAUUACUCAAACUUACACUUUUCCUUCCAAACCUGUCUAGCCCAAUCGUGCCCACACUCAUAACCUCAGACUCAUCUUUUAAUCUCCCUCAUUCCUUCCUUCUCUUCUGAAACUCAAUCUUCUAGUUCUUUCAAUCUUUACCUCACAAAGUCUCUCUAAAACACUUCUAAGUGACCAAUGCAAAGAUUCUGGAAGUCUGUGAUCUCUGAGACUGUCGUUUACUAUCCACCUGAGAAGGCAAGCUCUGGGCUAAAACUCCACGUCCUGCUUGGUGAGACGGGGACUGGCGGCAUCAAUUGGUGAAUUUGGAUGGCUCAUACGUCUGU